AGGCUGCGAGAGCCUGGCUGGUCCUGGAGGGGCGGGGUGGGGGGCCUGGAGCGGAAGGAAGAUUUGGGAAGAAGGGCGCCCGGCGAGUGGGGGCAGCCGUCGGCCCCUGGCCCCUGAGAGAGGCCAUCGAGGCGAGGAGGGCUCCUCUCUGCAACCUUUGCAGCUCAAACCCGGGGCACCUAGUUCGCGCCGAUAUCCAGGGUCUGCACGCUGCCUCCCCAAGGAGAUUGGGUCUGGAAACAAAAUUGUGCCCCCACAGCUGUGCACACGUCCGUGUUCCUGUGGAAGGACCCCUCCAGUGCCCCCAGCAGACCCACAUCCCUCCCUAAACCAAUGGGAAGAUUGAGGCCCAGUGAGGGCCAGGACUGCACUGCUCAACCGUUAUCAGUCGGUACCCACUACCUCCCCUCUGCCCAUCCAUCCACCUUGGAGGUCAGUUCAGUUCAGGUCGGUCGUGUCUGACUCUUUGCAACCCCAUGGACUGCAGCACACCAGGCCUCCCUGUCCAUCGCCAACUCCUGGAGUUUAU